CAAUAGCGUAUAUUUAAGUUGUUGCAGUUAAAAAGCUCGUAGUCGGAUUUUGGCUGAGAACGAUCGGUCCGCCGUUAGGUGUGCACUGAUUGGUCUCAGCAUCCUGGUGAGGAGGUGUGCUUCACGGCCACUUAGUCACCGUGGUUACUUUGAAAAAAUUAGAGUGUUCAAAGCGGGCUUACGCUUGAAUAUAUUAGCAUGGAAUAACACCAUAGGACUCCUGUCCUAUUUCGUUGGUCUCGGGACGGGAGUAAUGAUUAAGAGGAACAGUUGGGGGCAUUCGUAUUUCAUUGUCAGAGGUGAAAUUCUUGGAUUUAUGAAAGACGAACUUCUGCGAAAGCAUUUGCCAAGGAUGUUUUCAUUGA
rnacentral:rRNA from 1 species